rnacentral:rRNA from 1 species
UACGGGGGGGGCAAGCGUUGUUCGGAAUUACUGGGCGUAAAGGGUUCGUAGGUGGCCAACUAAGUCAGACGUGAAAUCCCUCAGCUUAACUGGGGAACUGCGUCUGAGACUGGAUGGCUUGAGUGCAGGAGAGGAACGCGGAAUUCCAGGUGUAGCGGUGAAAUGCGUAGAUAUCUGGAGGAACACCGGUGGCGAAGGCGGCGUUCUGGACUGCAACUGACACUGAGGCACGAAAGCGUGGGGAGCAAACAGG